rnacentral:rRNA from 1 species
AUGAAAAACUGCCCCAAAGGUUUGCGGGGAAUAUAUCAAGGUCACACCAGAGAGGCCACCAUCAUACUAGAAGCGGUGACAUCACAUGACUUAUGGAUUUGGCAAUCUUUCUUUGGAAUACCGGGUUCUCACAAUGACAUCAACGUGCUUCAACGAUCUCCGAUGUUCGGGAGACUUUGCAAUGGGGAAUCACCGCCGUGCAACUACAUCGUCAAUGACCGAGAGUACAACAUGGGAUACUAUUUUGCCGAUGGUAUCUAUCCUCAGUGGGCGGCGUUUGUGAAGACCAUAUCCAAAUAG